rnacentral:lncRNA from 1 species
AUGCUUGGUGAACUGCUUUAUUAUAUUCUAUUCGAUUUUCUUUUAAACAAUUAUUCCCCCCCCCCCCCCCCCCCCCCCCCCCCCCCCCAACUUGUCUCUUCCCUUUACAGGAACAUCCGGCGAGGGAGGUAUGAUCAGUCACCCAUGUCUUUGUGUCUUCAGUUAUUUUCUGUCUCAUCCCAUCCAACCCUCCAUCCACCUGAAACCCAUCCAAUGGUUCUGAGUAGGGCUGGGUAUUGGCAGAUCUGGCGGAGGAUAAGAAGACGGUUGCUGUCUUUGUCUUCAUGUCUGUCUGUACCUCCUAUUCCUCACACCUUUGUUCCCGCCCUGGAGAAGAGGGAGAUUGGGGGGACGUCUUUCACACUUCUGUCUUGCAUCUCUCCAUGCCUCUUUAUAUACUGCCCACCCAUCCCUUCCCUUGGUCCUGUCCAGCCUGGCUCCACCGUCAACCUGGAGGGAGGGCUGACCCUUUACAUUUCCCUUCUUGAACACCAGCCAAUCAAAUUCCUGUGGUUGCUGUCAGCUGACCAGCCAUGGCAUCGUACCCAGGUACCCUCGCCGAAGAAAGACAUUUUUGGGUUUUUCUGCAAAACAUUGUUCUUCCUCCUAGUGGCUGGUUCUUGGGGUCCGCUGGGUAGUCUGUGUGGGAGUGUACUGUGAACACAAAUGAACGAGGACCAUUUGUAUUUGGGCCGUGGUCUUGCCAGUACCAACCACCUGGCCCACAGGAUGGAGUCCAUAUAAACCAAGUUCACAGACUUCUCUUGGGAUUCUUUUUCUUUCAAUAGGAAUUUGAGUCGGAGCCCAAGAAGGACUUUCCUCUAAGAAAUGGGGUGGGAUGGCCUAUAACCUGCCUCAACAUUGAUAUCUCCAGACUUGGAUAUGUGACGGUUGAUUGCACGAUUUUAAAAGACGGACGCCUGAUAAAAGGCUGAAGACCUUGAAAAAGUAAAGGUUAGCAAACCAAUGAUGCGUUAAAACAAGCAAAGGCUGACUUAGAUUGAUAAACGUUUAUUGUUAUGCGUCGAUACUUCCCCUAAUGAGCUUUCAGGUACAAAACAAAAGAGAUAGAAAGGCAUUGUGGUUUUUGGGAACAUUUUUUAGCACAUUUUGAAUCCGUAGAGACCGUAACUUAGUGUGAAUCUAACCACAGCCUCUGACCUACAUUCCACUUUUAGGUGUUAACAACAAUUUCUGUGUUCACUUCUUCCUUAGGCACCCAAAAAUUUUAAAUAUUGUAUGUACCCUCAUAGCUUAUUGUAGGGGAUUUGUUAAGAAAGCAAGAGAGAAUGUUUACACUUGUGUUAGGGGGGGCGGUCUUUCCGUGUUCACCUUGACAUUCCUGCCAUCAUUGAGAAGAGAAGUUUGUACCUCUAAAAGAUCGUUCUAUUUCCUGUAAGAUGCCAUUGUUCACGUUUGCCUAAAAAAUGAAAAAAGUAGAACAUCUAACGACAACAAAUGGACAUUUAAGUCCAUUAUAUGCACACCUUUGUAAAUAUGUGCAAGUUUACUGAUUGUUAUUGAAUCCACUGUAUAUCAUUUUAUUAUUUACAAGGCUUUGAGAAAAUAAUGAGCUUGUAAUCCCGCUUCAUCAGAACAUGUUUCGGUCUGUUAUCAUGUAGACUAUGCUAGUCAUCCAUCCACUAUGAAAGAAUGACAAGUAAUCCACUUGAAUAACUUGUUCAAUGGGAGAGAAAAAAUUCAACAAUCAUAUUUUGUAUUGCCUCUUCCAAGAGACUCUGCAAUGUCGACCUUAGGAGGUUUCCACUGUAUAUGAGAGUAAAAUUACCUAGGUUAUAUGGAGUCGUAGACAUGCUGGACUCGGGCAAACAUGUCUGAGUGGCGAAUCAAAUCAAAGUUUGAUUCGAGGUCUGAGUUUGCACUAUUGUUACCACACAACAUGUUGGUAUCAAGUGCAAACUGUUAUUUGUGAAGAAGAUUAAGAAAUGCAAAAGGUGCAUCUUAGACCAUAUUUUUAGACACUAUCUUUUUGAAUUGAGUAAAAAUUAAAUAAUGAAGAAAGCUCUGUACAGAUCCUUAAAGAAAAAUAAAACACAGAAAUUAAAUCCUUGCAUCUCGAUUUCUCCGGAAUAUAAUAUUGUUACACUGUGUGUGUGUUAAUCUAAUCCAUUUACCAAAAAUCUAUCAAGAGUAAUAACCAUAAUUGUACCUCUCAGAAACUGCAUAUUCCUGGCAACUUUAUUUAAAUAAAAUAUGUAAAUAAAAAAUCAAUAGUAAAAAAUAGUACAUUGAUGUCGAUACGGUCCUAUUGGUCCAAUAAAACAGGACUGCUUGCAAUUGCUAUUCACAAUAAGGGUUUUCAUGUAUGAUAAAUUUGCUAAUGCACUCAUGUAUCCAUCCCUGUGUUAACAUCCUCCACUUUAAAUUUCCUCUUCCGUACUUAUUUAUUUUGUUUCUACCAAAACAUCUGUUGUUUAAAGAAUUUCAGUAUUCUUUGGUUUAAAAUUAUUUGCCGAUG